rnacentral:rRNA from 1 species
GGGGUGAGUAAACGCGUGGGUAACCUGCCCUUAAGUCUGGGAUACCAUUUGGAAACAGAUGCUAAUACCGGAUAAAAGCUACUUUCGCAUGAAAGAAGUUUAAAAGGCGGCGUAAGCUGUCGCUAAAGGGAUGGACCUGCGAUGCAUUAGCUAGUUGGUAAGGUAACGGCUACCAAGGCGAUGAUGCAUAGCCCGAGUUGAGAGACUGAUCGGCCACAUUGGGACUGAGACACGGCCCAAACUCCUACGGGAGGCAGCAGUAGGGAAUCUUCCACAAUGGACGAAAGUCUGAUGGAGCAACGCCGCGUGAGUGAAGAAGGUUUUCGGAUCGUAAAGCUCUGUUGUUGGUGAAGAAGGAUAGAGGUAGUAACUGGCCUUUAUUUGACGGUAAUCAACCAGAAAGUCACGGCUAACUACGUGCCAGCAGCCGCGGUAAU